AUGAGGCACUAUUUUGCAGAUAAUCCCGUAUACCCUGAGUCGUACUUCCGGCGUUGUUUUAGGAUGAGCACCGAGUUGUUCAGGCGCAUUGCAAAGAUACUGGCUAGCCAUGAUCGGUUUUUUCAGCAAAGGAGGAAUGCCACCGAAGAACUCGAGCAUAGCACCUUUCAAAAGGUGACAACCGCUUUGCGUAUGUUGGCAUACGGUAUUCCGGCUGAUCUAGUUGAUGACCACCUGGCCAUGGGUGAGAGUCAAGCCAUCAUCUGUGUCAAACGCUUCGUAGUCGGAAUUGUGCAAGUGUUUGGUCCGGAGUAUUUGAGAGCUUGCAAUGCUUAA
rnacentral:rRNA from 1 species